ensembl:lncRNA
AUGGGGAGGAGAGAAGGGAUGGGGUCAGAGGGUUUGAGCCGGUGGCUGGAUUCCAGAGGUCUUGGAAGGCCGAGGGGAAGACUUUGGCUCCGGGACUGUGCCUUGGGAGGUCCGUGGAGUUCUUGGAGCCUGGGCUGCUUACAGGGAGGGAACCAGAGGGGGUCCCAGUGGAGGGGAUGCAGAGCCAGGGAGGAGGUGACGGUGCUGGGUCGGGGAGCGAGCCGACUGGCUGGGAAGGCCCAAGCUGGACAUUGCCUGGAUUUUGAAGAUGCCCUAGAUCUGUUGUGGGUGUUCAUGUGGGUGUGGGGGACACAGCCACGGGCCUGUGCUUCUGGGAAGGCCGGCCGGCCGCCCGCUUCCCCUUUCUCUCCAGAUUCCUUUGAUCCGCGGGUUCUCCGCCGCACCUCGGCUCCCGGGCUGCCCGGGUCGGCCCGCGGGGAUCCUGGAAACGGUCCCCAGCUUAUCUCCUUUCAUCAAGCGGCCUUGGGCCGCCUUGAAACCGCGGAGCCAGUAAUUGCUUUUUUCAGGAGGCCCAGUGCGGACUGGACAACAGCCAAUCAGCGCCUUGUUUACACUCGGUGAUGGACAGUCCGCUGGCGGAGUGCCAACCAAUCCCAGCGGUCCCGCGGGAACGGGAGUGGGGGCGGGGAAACAGAGAGACAGCAGGCUUUGAGUUUAACUCUUUCGUGUCCCUGCUGGAAUGAGACGGUGGAGAAUUUCGAAUGCGUGUGAAUCUGUCAUUUGGCUUCUAGUUUAAAUAUCCUUUUUUCCCCCAGAGGGGGAGGCAGAGAUUCACAGGGAGAAAGAGGAGCAAAAAUAAAUGUAUCCAUCGCCACUAAGACAUCACCUCGACUCCCUGAGAAUAAAUAGCAUUUGGGUGGGAAACCAAAUUCUAACAGAAAUAUUUGUUUGCAGAAUAUUUUAGAAGUGGUUUGCAUCUGAUUACGAUAAAAAUUGUUCAGUAGCUUGCUUUAGUUGGAGUGAGGAUUUAGCAGAUAUGCAGACAGGGAGCAGCAUUGAGAAAUACUAUACAUGGUUUACCACACCAUAUCCCCUUCCCCCCUUAUCGAGCUGAAAAUAUUUUUUAAAUCUAGGUGUAGAUGAAGAAAGGGCAAUCCUUGUCUUCUCAAUAAAUCCCUGAUUUUCAUUUUAGUAGUUGCUCUGUUGCAAAGUGUGGCAGAGGGAGAUAAAAUUGAGAGCCACUAAUGUAGACGGCUGGAGACUCAGAACUCACUUCCCAGGGUCUGAUCCCCAGGUCAGGGGGAGGAGAGGGCCGGGCGGGCUAUUCAAAGCUUGUACUGCCCAAGCAGCGGACGUACGUGGAUCUGUGAGCUCGGGUCCGGGCAGGCAGCAGCCUCAGAGCGGUAGAUGGGCCAGGCAACCUGGGGAGGCCUCUGGGCUUGGAGGUCUGGCCUACCUGCCACCUGCCAGACAGAUCGCAGGGAGAAAAAGUAGCUACUUUUAAGGGGUGGUGGUAUUUCUUCCUUUGGCCUUCUGUGCGGCAGAAGCCAAACGUUAGACCUGCUGGAUUAAACAUAUAUGUGUGUGUGUGUGUCUGUGUCUGUGUAUACGCCUCCCCCUCCGCCGGGACACGCGCACUCGCUGGUUCCAGCUCCCUCUCCUGCCCUGCGCCACCACAUUCCCAUUCAGCAGCAAUGAUCUGCGCAGAGGAGCUGCGCAGUCGCCGGGCUUGAAUUAGGCGCCAUCGGGCUUGGUAGUAGCCCCGCUGCUUCCUGAUUGGCAGCUCCCUGGCCCGGCGCCAGCCUAUUGGGAGGCCUGUUUACGCCGAAUGAGUGGCACGAGCUCCCGGCCGCGGAGGGCUGCGCGGCCAAUCAGCGCGCUGGCUGCUCCGGGCUGAGUGGCACGAGCUUAUUAGUAUGCAGGGCCCGUGGCUCGCGGCGCCAGGCUGCAGGUUUGAGAGCCGCUCUGGAUGGGCUCGCUAGAGUCGUUGUUGUGGAAGCGGUGCAUUUACAGUGCAACAGUCAGCACAUUGAAAAUACCAAUAGGAAUACAAAACAAAGUCACAUUUACUGAUUUAAUUGUAUUGCAUUCAGUUGUAUCCAGGAAACAGCCUCCAGUAAGUAACUGAAAUUGCUUUCAUUUUUUUUUGUUUUUGUAUUUUUAUUAUUAUUUUUUAUUCUGGCUUUGGGGUUUUACAUUUUUUUUUUUUUUUUAGCAAAAGAAAUUCAGGGUUGUGAUGUUAAGAAAUAUAUACCUUCCCUUUUAACAAAAUCCGUUAAAAUGUCGAAGCUUUUUUUUCUUAAAAAAUAUGGACUAUAUAAGCGAUUUUUUUCUCUGAAAAAUCUUAUCGAUCGGUUUAAAAUUCCCCCCGUAAUGCGUCCUUGCUUUGCUCUGAACGCUUGUUGUCCCGAUCGACACCCAGCAUUAAAAAUAAAUACUCGAGACAGGGCAGGGACCGCCAGGCUGCGUCUGGCGCGAGCCGCGCGGGUGGCACCGGGCGGACAGUCGGCGAAGUCCGGGCGCCGCCAGCGUGCUCCCAGCUUUGGGUGACCCACGAACGAACCCCUACUAUUCGCUCCCCUACCCUGCUCCCCUCCCCGGAGCAGUCCUGAGUUGGCCCCGCCCGGUCGGUCCGCGGCUAGGGGAACCGGCCGGCUCGUGGUACCCACGGCCGCUGCCCUGAAGGGCCUUCCGGGCCGAAGCUAGGGGCCGGGGAGGGAAACGGUCAUGGCGAGUUUUUCGGUCUUCGUUCCCAUUUCAGAAUUUUUUUUUCGGAGAAGGGGUGGAGGAGGGGGGCCGAGCGAGGCUGGCGCAGCGGGGCGUUAUCACCGUGCGUUCGGGACAGCGCGCGGGGCUCGGGUCACGGCCCGUGUGGCGGGGCCCGCGGGCUGGUUUUCCUCAGGCGCGCGGGUCAGGCGCGACCCUAGUUCUCAUGACUCUCCUCGGGAGCGGGUGCGGCUGUUUCGCAGGGAGCGGGUUCUGCGGCGGCGGCCGAGCCACUAGCGCCCCGGGCGCGCCAGGUCCCAGCCCGGCCUGCAGGCCCCACCGCGCCCGCGCUCCCGGAGACGGCGCCGGAGGGAGGCAGACGGGUCGGAGUCCGGGUCUCCGACAGGCGGGCGAGGAGAGAGCGGGUUUUUAGAUGCAAAAGCAGAAAACAAAGCAAACCUGUAGAAGCCCCAGAUCCUGGAGCGCGCCAGCCACGCCUGGGGCCGCGGGAAGAGGGACCCGCGGCUCCGGGGUCACGCCCUGCCUUCCCGGGAAGGAGCCCUGUGCUCCGAGGUUCAGCUCCUCCCGAAAUGCCCUCGUCAGCGAUUCUCCGCCCGCCCGGGGUCCUCUGCCCGCCAUCACUUUUCGCUCCGUUUCCUCCCUUAGCUCAGCCUGACCUGGCGCUGCGGCGCCGUCCUCGCGGUCCUCCUGCGCGGCCUCUCCUGGAGCUGGGCUGGGGUGGGCCCCGGGCCUCGGCACUUGGCGGGUGGCGGCGUCGCGGCUGCGGGACUGUGGGGCUCCCAGCCCGGGCCUUGUGGCCGCCCUUCCUCGCCCCGCUUCCUGGCCUCCUCGGGCUCCCCAGGCCCCGAAGCCCGGCGCUGGCAGACGCGGAGGCGCGGCGCGGCCUCUCCCCGGGAGGAGAGAACACAAAGAAAAGCCCCCUCCAAUCCGGUCAGAGCCGUGGCGGCGCAGGCGGGCGACAGUAAUCCGCCUCAAUCGGGCCUGCGAUCCGCCCGCAGGGGGUGCGAGAUUAAAAUUGCUGCUUCGUAGCCGAGCCCGCGUCCCGAGAAUCGCCAGCAGCUCACGCUUUCUCAACUUUGAAAUUUCUCAUUGGAAAAAAAAAAACAACCACAAAACAAAAGCACAGCACACACGACUCCCCGGAGGCCUCCAGGAAGCCUGGCACCCCCGCGUGCGCCGCCCCCAGCCCUUCUCCGGCCCUCGGCGCCUUUGAAGCUGCAGGUUUCUGACCUCCCUCUCUUUCCUUCUUUCCCUUUGUCCCGCCCGGCGCCCUCCGGAGCUCGGGAGGCACCGGCCGGUGCUGGGGCCCCCACGUCCCUGGUCCUGCCUGGGCAGCCCUCCCUGACCCCAGCGCUCGCAGCCCCCUCGCCAGAGUACUCUCCGGGCCCUGGCGGCCGGGCACUCGCUUUGCAGGCCGGGCUCGGAGCUUGGGACACGCCGAGCUGUUUGUUAGACCGGGGGAGAGAGCUGGCGAUCCCCAGAGGGAAGGGAGCCCCAAACGCCUUUGUAUGUAGUUACCAGACAAAGAGAACUCUUUGUGUAGACCCAUUUAUUUACAAUGCAAAAGCUCUCCGAAUAAAUAUUAAAAAAGCUUAUCAGCAGAGCAAAUAUGUAUUCACUUAAUACAUUAUGUUUUCGGUUAUAGAUUAAAUCAGACACAAAAUAGUCUGCAAAUAACACGUUUUAGAACCGGGAGCAUAAAAUAUCGCAAUUUAAAAAGGUAUUCAGGAGAUGGAAAACAUCUUAAUCGCUUUGUUGUCAUGGUGGGAUGGCUACAAAAACACAAGGUUUUCUGCAAAGUUCCUAAUUAAGAAUAUCAAGCCUAUCCAUCUCCCUUUUGUUGGAGGCGAUAAACAUUAAAAACAAUACGUAUUUAGGAGAUGAGGAGGAAUAUGUGAAGUGCGGCCGGGGAGCGCCUUUGGAGGAACGCCUGGGAGCAAGGUGGUGCACGUAGCUUCUAUCACUGGCUCCGAUCCUCCGCACCCAGAGUCUGAAAUUGUCCCCAAUUUCGCCUGAGUGGAUGUUCUGCGUUGGGUGGGGGUGAAAGAAAAUGGAGGUGAGGGUCAUUUUAGGUGGCCCCGCCGGAGGUCCGGGCGGGGUCUGCUGGCAGUAGGUUGUGCUGGGCCGGGCCCACCUUCCCCGGCUGGAGGGCCGAACUGGGCGCCGCAGACCCCGCGUACCCAGGCCGCCCCGCCAUGCCGAGACCGGCCUCUGCUCGCGGUCCCCGGCAGGCGCUGAAGGAAGAAAUCCUAGGGCCGAUUUGGGCCGUUGAGAGAGCAGCAUUCUGACUCUGAAAGCAUCCCCCCCACCCCCAAGCCCCCAAUCCGCAGAGGAAGAUCCUGGGCGAAUUUGAUUGGGGGGCGGGGUGAUUGUUACAGCCUCAACAGGAAGCUCCCGGCUCCGGGACAGCAGGCCGGGCACUGCGGCGUGGCGGCCCAGGUGAUGCCGGUGGCGGUUGCGGGGCGCCCGGGGCUCUGAGGAGCCGGCCUGGGGUCCUGGAGCGAUUCUGGGGACAGGAGCUGGUCCCGCUGGGGCUGGGGAGGGAGGACGACAGCGGAUUCAGAAGAAUGGGCCGAAAGAUGCAUGGGGGGGAUGGGAGUGGGGGAAAAGGAAGGUUAUUAAAAAAAAAAAAAAACUCUUGAGUUACAAUCAAUAAAAUUACUCGCUUAAUUAGCAUGGUUAUUCGGUUAAGCGGAAUGCAGUAAAAGCUGGAUCUCGGCGUGAGGUGGGGAGAGAGAGUGAGCGAGCGUGGACCCCAGGCCUUUUCCUCCGAGACACCUUUGGGCAGCGGGGGAGGGGAGAGGGUGUGCGUGUGAGUGUGUGUGUG